CUUUAUCACUAUAGGCUACAUCUCACAGAUGGGGCAAUCUGACAUAUAUAUAAGGCUUGCUGUCUGAUUGAUUGCCAUCAUCCACAGCAUCAAGCAUCGUGACCAUGAAGAUAGCAUUUACUCUUCACUCUUUGUUCCUUCUUUGCGGGUUCGCUGGACUGUUGACUGGAGUUUUCUCAAGUAGAAAAAGUCAUGCAGAAGUCGACAGUCGUGGAUCUGGUGGUUGCUGCCCUGCAGGGUGGACUCAGUUGGG